GCCUCCAUAGCUCAGUUGGUAGAGCAUGAGACUCUUAAUCUCAGGGUUGCAGGUUUAAGCCCCAUGGGGGAA